rnacentral:rRNA from 1 species
GAAAAGGUAGUGAGUGGGGCGGCGGUAAGACGUGGGGUGGAGUCUUUUUGCUUAUGUUUUUGUUUUAAUGGGUCCGUAGGAGGGCUGUUAGUUCUGGGGUGAGAGCAUGUCGCUUAACGGUAGAACGGCCAUGGAUACAGUAAGGCAUUAGUAUAUUUGAGGUAGCUGGAAUAAGUAGUUGAGCGGUGAAAUGCAUAGAUAGUACUUAGAACACCAAUUGCGAAGGCAGGUUACCAAGAUAUAACUGACGCUGAGGGACUAAAGCGUGGGGUGCGAACAGGAUUAGAUACCCGAGUAGUC